GAUUUUUGCAGGAGUCCAGUGAACAGACAGUGUGUGAAACUACUAUGUUGACCUUGGACUUCUCUUGAGUGUCCAAGUACACUUAGUGGUUGCCCUAAUGAUUAUAGUGAGUGUAUGCAUGGAAUUAUCAGGGGUCCAGAUGGAAGGACAUGUAUCCUGACCAGGGUUGCCACCAUAUGUUUUCUCAGCAGGUAGUCAAGAGAUGAUGGUGUCUCUAACUACAACAUUGGCCUCAGAACCUUAAGAUUCAGGUAGAGUUCAUGGUUCCCCUAACAAUACUAGUCACCAUGGGAUUUUUUGAGGUGCGUAUAGAAGAUGUAUCCCUAACCACUACUGCUGCCAUAUGGUUUUGCAAGCUCCUAUCAAGAGAUAAUGGUGAAACUCAUAUUAGUCAUUUUUGUAGGAAUUUCAUGGAAUCUAGCUAAGUGAUUAUGUGGACCUUAAACACAGUACAGACCAUCUGCUCUUCAGACAUCGAGGUAAGUGACGAUGAUGUCCUCAACAUGUGUUGGUAUCAUGUGUUUUGCAGGUAUUCGGGUAAAAAAAAAUGAUACGGGCUCUACCAAUAAGUAUUGGAAUCCAUGAGCUUUAGCUUAACCAGUUUUCUAGUUUAGAGAUAUUGUGUGUUUAACUUUAGGAGUGAAUGAGGGAUUUUCAGGUAUCUAGGCAAGUGAUCAUAACUUUCUUCACCACAGUAAUGACCUUGAGAUUUUUAUAGAUGCCCAGACAAUAAAUGACGGUGCCUGUACCAAUGUGUUGACCUUCAGGUUCUGCCAAUAUCCAGGUAGCAUUAAUGGGUUUGUAAAGAUGGAAGUGACAAAAGUUAUUUGCAGAUGUUCUGCUAGAAAAAGUUGCAUUCUUAAACACAUCUGUCACAAUAUGUUUUUUCAGGUUUCAGUCUAAAGAUCAAGGUAACCCUAACAACGGGGAUUAACAUGGAGCUUUGCUGGUAUCCAGGCAAGUGAUGAUGUGGGUCUUAUCACACGGUAGACAUUGUGACCUUCAGAAGUUUACAUAAGUGAUGAUGAUACCUCUAACAUUUGUGUUACCGUGUUUUUUUGGGUUUUUGCAGAUAUUCAGGUAAGAAAUUAUAGUGUUCCCAUAAUUCCUAUUUAAUAAUACACCCUUGCUGCUUACUAGUGCAGAGAUAAUGUUUUGAAAUCUGGCUAUGACUGAGGGAUUUGUAAGUUUCCAAGUAAAUUAUCGUACUGUUUCUCAUCUCAGUAUUGACUAUGGUAUUUUUACAGGUACCCAGUCAAGAGAUUAUGACAUAUCCAUGGUUUUGACCUGGAUAUUCUGCAAGUAUCAAGGUGCUGUCAGUGGAUGGUGGUGAAACUAACAAUGAUAGUGAACAUGGACUUAGCUAAAAGAGAGGGAAAAGAUGGUGUGAGCCUUUACACUUUGGAGAGCUUCAGAUUUCAGUUAUCUCGGAUUCUGUCAGGAGAUUAUGGUGAGCCCAACAGUGGUAGUUGAUGUGGGACACUGCUGGAAUAUAGGUAACUGAUGUGGUAAGUUUAAAUCACAGCAAGUCUACUUGAUUUUCCUAUAUCUAGGUAAGUGAUUAAUGAUGUCCCAAAUACUUGUUACUGUGUUUGUUUCUUUUUUCUUUAUGUAUUCAGUGAUGAAAAGUUCUUACUAGUAAUAGAACCCAUGAGUUCUUUCUUUUUACCUUUUAGGGAAAAUUUCUUUAACUUUGUGAGUAUUGAGGGAUUGUCACAGUAAUUACCAUUGUGUUUCCCACUGCAUUCGUAAUCAUGGGAUCUUUGCAGUUAUCCAGUCAAGAAAUUAUGGUCUUAUCUGAAAUGGUGUUUACCUUGAUGUACUACAAAUAUUCAAGUAGAGAUGAUGUGUCCAGUAAUAUUGGAAGUAACUAAGGUUAGUUGACAGCAUCCUCAUAGAAAAUAAAUUGUGUCCUUUAACAUGUAUUUUCUAAAGUGUUUUUCAUGUUCCUGUCAAGAGAGCAUGGGGAACCUAAAGACGGUGGUUAACAUGGGACGUUGCUGGUGUCCAGAUGUAACCCCGGGACUUCUGGAAGUGUGCAGUGAACAGAAAGUGUUUUCACUAACAGUAGUGCAGACCAUAGAAUACUACAAGUAAUCAGGUUUCAGUCCAGAGAACAUGAUGAACUUCAAAAUGGUCAUUCACAGGGAUUCACCUGGUGCCCAGAGAAUGUAUGCUCAACCCUUUUAGUGAUGAAGAACUGCACAUGUCUAGAUAACUAUCGUGGUGCUCCUCCUCCACUAGUAGCCAUGGGAAUUUUGAGAUUAUAGUCAGGAAAUGAUGUUUUUAUCUGGCAACAGCACUUCCUUGGAGUACUUCAGAUAUUCAGAUGCCUAUCCAGAGAUCACAAAGGACCUAAAUAUGUUUGUUAACAGGAGACGUUGCUGGUGUCCAGAUAUGUCUUCAAGAGAUGAAGGAGUUUCUUACCUUGGUUUGAACUUGGAAUUCAGCAGGCAUCCAGGUAGCAUGGAUGGGUCCUGAAAUGAUACAGAUCCAAGUCAAGACAUCAUAGUGAGUCUGUGAAAGGUAAUCAGGGAGUCUGUGAAAGAUGGGAUGUUGCCGGUAUCAAGGCAAGAGAUGGUGUGGGACAAAAGCACAGCACAGCACAGCCCAUCUGAUCAUCAUGUGCAUAGGUUCCUGUGAACUGAUUGUUAUGAAACUAAAAGUGGAUGUUAAUAAAAACAUUUCUGCUCUAAGUAAGUGAUGAUGCACACCCUAACCAAUCAUGAAUCAUCUGAUUUUUAUAUAUCUAGGUAAGUUUUACCAUUUGAUUUUUGGUACGUAGUCAGGCAAAACAUGAUAGCAUUUUAUUAAUUCUAGCAGACGUGUUAAUCCAGAGUUUGUAUUUCACAGAAAAUUUACAUUUAACCAGGUGAGUGGUCAAUGAUUUCCAUGUGUCCUUGAAAAUAUCUUGUGGCUCCCCAUCAGGGUAGCAACCAUGGGAUAUUAUCAGCUGUGCAGUUAUCACCACCCAUGAUGGUGUCUCUAACAAAGAUAUGUUGACCUUGAAUUGAAGCAAGUAUCUAGGUAGAGUUGAUGUGUAUUCCAAAAUAAUGGAAGCAUACAAGGUUGUAGGCAAGUGCCCGGGGAGAACAAGUUGUGACCUUAAACACAUUUGUCUUAUAUGAUGUUUCAGGUUCUUGUCAAAACUAUGAGGUGAAUCACAUAAUGCUCAGUAAUGAAACAUUGCUUGUAAACAGGUAGUGAUAACUGUUUGCGUCCUGUAAUGGGGGUAAUUACACAAUGCAGAGCGUUGGAUUUUCUAGGUAGGUAAAAAGGGAUCCCUAAUGCUUAAGCUACUGUGUAUUUUGUAGGUAAUCCAUUCAGGUUUUUGGGCUAGUAUACAGCUACCAGAUAAGGUUGUAUUAACAUGUAAAACACCUUGGUAUUUUCGGAUAUCAACUUUAUUAAUGUUUUACACAAUAUUAACUUAAACUUGUUUUUCACAUUUAUGCAGUUAAAAAUAAAUAUGCCUCUAGUAAUACAAAUAAUCAAGAGAAUUUAUUGCAUGUCUUGACAGAUAAUGAGUAUUGAACACUUACAGAGCUACACAAAUCCACAGGCAUCUGGAUUAACAGUAUUGUCCAAAACCAUGAAAUUAACAACUGGAAUUAUGCAGGGAUCUAAUCAAGAAAGUACAAGGAUUCUUAAAAGGCGUUUUCCUCAAAUUUCUACAAGUAUUGAGAUUUACAUUAACAUAUCGCAGCAAGCCUGUCAAAGCUAGGUAACAUGGGACAUUGCUGGCAGAGGUAAGUGCUGAUGCGGGCCUUAACUACAGCCCGCAGCGUGGGACUGUCACAGAGACUAGUUCAGUGAUGAUGUGUCCCUAAACGUCAUCCCGCCAUGAUUUUUUCCCAGGUAUUCAGGUGAGAAAUGAUUGAGUCUUAACCAAUCUCAGAUAGGCUAGGUUUUCUAAUUUUCUCUUUCACCGAAAGUGUAUGCUGACCCUGUGAGUGUUGAGGGAUUGCAAGUAACCAGGUAUUUAUCACUGUAUUACCCACCCCCAUACUGCCCCUGGGAUUUGUGGAAGUGUCCAGUUGUGAAACGGUGGUUUUCUGCUAUCAGGGUCGACCUAGGAUUACUGCAAGUAUCCAGGUCGAGUGGUGUGUCCCAUAAAGCUGGAAGAACUCAAGGUUCUUUGCAGGAGUCCUGGUGGAAAACCCUGUGUCCUUCUACGUAUAUGUUUUCAUGCCUAUUUCAGCCCCUGACCGUGACAUCACAAUGAGUAUGAUACAGGUCUGGAGGUCAGCACUGAUGAGGACUGAAAGCAACGCACGGGCCACGUAAGGUUCAGCAGUCUAGGAAAGUGAUGAUGGUGUCCAUCCUUCCUGUUGUUCCCAUGAUUUCACUUCAGUUGUCCUAGGAAAAAAUGGUGUCCUGUAGAGAGAAAUGCUGUCUUCUGGGACCACGGCCCUGAGCUUGGGGACCCUGUCAGCAUCCAGGUUCCCGGGAGGAAAUCCUAACUAACCAGAGACACAAUCAGGGGACGUGUCUGCUAUCUGGUCCAGGAGAGAACGUAUGAGAGAAGCGGGCCAGAGAAAAUAGCAUGUCCUGCAAUGGCCUAGACCUUGGAGGACCUGCAAACAUCCAGGUUCCCGUGGAAAGGUCACAGGAAACCUCUUCGUGCUUGAGCGGAGGACUGUGCCUGUAUUUAGGUGGGUGAUGGCGUGGGCCUAAGCAGGCCACGGACUAUCCGAUCUUCCCAUACACAGGUAAAUGCAGAUGGCUUUCUGGCUCUUGUCCCUGUCCUGCCAUGGGUUCCUCGGCUCAUUUUCUGUUCUUUAUUUUCUGCAGUUAUUCAGUUAAGAAACGAUGCUUUGCCAACCAAGACUGGUAAGCAUUAGUCCUUGCUAUGUUCAACUUUAGGAAAAUGUGCCUUGAACCUGAGUCCGUGUUGACUGAGGGAGAUGUGGGUGUCCAGGUAAAUUAUCCUACUCUACCAGACCACAGGAUGGAAUGAUAGUUCUGACACAUCCUCAGUCCAGAGUCAAUAAUGGUGCCAGCAGUGGGGUGGAAGUUGGAGUUCUGCCAGGAUCUAGGUAAGGCCGAUGGUUCCCAGAUGAUGGCAGUGACCAGGCUGUGUAGUGCAUAUCUUUUUCGUCUUUCAGGUACGCCAAGUGGCAUCCCGGAAAACACCUGUCAGAUGCAUUUCUUCUGCUGCUGCUAGUCAUGAGAUCAAGGCCAGCCUGAGAACGGCCAUUCAGGGGCCCUGGAUUGUAACUGGUUAAUUGAUCACAUGAGUCCUAUGCCAGUACAGACCACCUGAACUUCAGAUUUCCUGGACAAAGAGGGCACUCUCCUUGACACACUGUUUUUCCCAUGGUUUCCUGCAGGAGUCCCGUAAAGUUCUCUUCCUGUAGAGAGGUAGGAGAUGUUGUGACAUUAUCUCGUGAAAGACAUUUUGUGUUUCCUGCAUGUAGAUAAAAUUAAUGACGGUUUUGAGUCUGGUAGAGUAACCUUGUGUUUGGCAUAUGUGUCAUUGGGAAAAAAUAAUUAGUGAUUCCCAAUGCCAGUAAGCAUGAGAUUUUACUGUUUGCUUAUUCAGAGGUAAGGCUUUGUUUGUUUGUUUUUUGCAAAUUUCACACUCCACGCAAUAGACAGAUAUGCCAAUGCCCAGGUAGUUGAUCAUAUUGUCUGUCACCCAGAUGUGGACUGUGGUGUUUCUGCAGGUAUCCCUUGUAGACUGUAGCCUCAGAGUUCUUCUGUUAUCCAGGUAGCCUUGAUGAGUCGUGAAAUGAUGCCAGUGAACAAGAGUAUUUGUGAUUGUCCUUGUAGCAUAGGUUGUGGACCAAGCAGUUUCCAUAAUAUGUCUUUCAGAUGUGUGUCAGGGCAUCACAGCAGGCCUUUCAAUCCUAGGUAAUGUGGGACAUUGCUGGGUGAGGUAAGUGCCACAGCCUGCAGUGUGGGACUGUUACAGAGACCUAGUUCUGUGAUGAUGUGUCCCUACAUGUCUUCCCAUCGUGAUUUCUUUCCCAGGUAUUUGGGAGAGAAAUGAUUGAGUCCUUACCAAUCCCAGGAUUUCUCCUGGUGUCCAGUCAAGAAAUAAUGGAUUUCUGCAUAGAUUUUGACCGUGUAUCACUGAAGUUGUGCAGAUAUUCCGAUAAGAAAUGUAGAGUCCUGGCUGAGCGCAGUGGCCCACGCCUGUAAUCCUGGCACUUUGGGAGGCCGAGGCUGGUGGAUCACAAGAUUCCUGGAAGAAAUCCCAAUGAACAGGGGUCAUUAUCAGGCCACAUUUCUGGUAUCUGUGGUAAGUAAUGAUGUUCACUUUAACCCCAUCACAGACCAUUUGAUCUUCAUAUAUCUAGGUAAGUGAUGUCUGUUUACGUGAACUGUUUAUCAUGUGCUUUUAUAACAGUGAUUUUUGUAAGUAAUGACAGUAUUUCUAGUUCUAGUGACCAUGUUAUAUUGUUUUUAAUUUAGAGAAAACUUAUGGUUUACGCUGUGAGUAUCAAAUGAUUUGCGUGUACACAGAUAACAACGUGGUGUGCUUCAUAGUAGUAACUGUGGUAUCCUUGCAGAUAGGUAGUCAAGAAAAAAUGGUGUGUCCUUCAAGGUUGUAGACCUUGGGAAUACUGCAAAAUUCCAUGUAGAUUUAUGUCUUCUGCAAUGAUGACAGCCAACAAGUUAUUUGCAGGGUUCUGGUGGAAGAGUUGUGUCCACAGACACAUUUGUCAUAAUGUGGUUUCAGGUUCCUCUCAAGGGGUCAUGGGAAACCUCAUCAUGAUCAACAAUGGGACAUUGCUGGUAUCCAAGCCAAUUAUGAUGUGGGCCUUAAACACCCUACAAAAAUGUGAUCUACAGAAAUGUAGGUAACUGUAGAUGGUUUUCCUAAUUUUUGUGUUGCCAUAUUUUGUGCAGGUAUUUAGUUAAGGAAUUAUAUUUUCCCAACCAACGCAGGUAAGCAUCAGUCAUUAUUUUAGAGUUUAGUUAUAAUGUGUUUAGUCUUAUAGUGAGGGAGGGAUAUGCAGGUAUCCAGGUAAGUUUUCCUACUGUUUCCCACCACGUUAUUGACCAUGAGACUUCAACAUCAUCAAGAGAUGAUGGUGCCACUACAUUGUUGACAUUGAAGUCAUGGCAAAUCCAAGUAGUGUUGAAGGUUCCCUGCUGAUGGAAGUGCCCAGAAUUAUUUGUGUCUUGUCUUUUUUUAUGUAAAACAAAUUGUUUCCUUAAACACACUUGAGCAAUGUGUUUUUUAGUUUUCUGUAAUGAGCUCACAAUCAAGCUUAACAAUAGUCAUUAAUGGAACCGUGCUGUAACCUGCUAAUUGAGAAAGUGUGUUUCCCACAAUCAGACCAUUAGAUCUUUAUAUUUCCAUGUAAGUGAGGAUGGUGUCCUUAACACUUGUCUACCAUGUAUUCCUGCAGGUAUCCUGUUAAGUUCUUUCCUAGUAUACAGGUAGAAGAUUAUGUGAUAUUAACACAUUAGCAACCUUCCUAUUUUCAGAUAUGUAGGUGAUUAAUGAUUUUUUUGAGACUCUUCUUGUAACCUUGUGUUUGUCAUGCAUGCAGUUAAGAAAUUACUUUUUCCCUAACAUUACUAGUAAGAGUGAGAUUUUACUGUGUUCUUGUUUAGACAUAAUGUGUAUUUAUCAAUUGUAGUGAUAUAUGGAUAUGCGAGUAUCCAGGUAAUUUAUCAUAUUGUCCAUCACUGUAAUGCUGAGAUUUUUGUAGGUAUCACUUCAAGAGAGGAAAGUUUCUCUUACGAGUGUUUUCCCUUGGCAUUAUGCAAGCAUCCAGUUACCUUUGAUAGGCCCUGAAAUGAUGAAAGAGACGAAGGGAAUUUGCAGGUGUACAGGUAGAAUGAGACAUUUAGGAAACACAUUUUCAACAGUAUAUUUUUUAGGUUCAUUUGAAGAGGUCACAGUGAGCCUAUCAGUAAUAGUUAACAGGGGUCAUUGCUCGUAUGGAUGUGCAUGAUAAUGUGGGCCUAAAACACAGCCCAGCCCAUCUGAUCUUCCCUUAUAUAGGUAAGUGGUGGUGUCCCUAACACUUCUGUUACUAUGAUUUUGUUGUAGCUGUUCAAGUAAGAAAUGAUAGAGCUCUUACCAAUUUAAAAAAACAUUAUUUUUCUCACUUUUUAUAUUUUAGAAUAACUUUAUGAUUAACCUCUGAGUUUUGAGUGAUAGUGCCUAUCCUGGUUAUUGGUGUUUCUUACCACAGCAGUAACCAGGGGAUUUUUACAGGUGUCCUGUCAAGAAAUGACCGUCUUACCUGACAGUGGUAUUGAUCUUGCAUUAUUACAAGUAUCCAGGUAGAGUUUAUGUGUUCUGUAAUGAUGGAGUGACGAAGGUUAUUUUCAGAUGUCUUGGUGGAAAUGUUUGUGUCCUUUAACACAUAUUUCACAAUGUGUAUUUCAGGUUUCUGUAGUGAGACCCUGAUAAACCUAACAAUGGUUGGUAUGGCAGACAUUUCUGGUAUGCAGGCAAGUGAUGAUGUGUUCUUUAACCACAUCAUAGACCAUCAGAUCUUCUUAUAUCUUUUUUUUUUUUUUUUUUGACAGAGUCUCGCUUUGUCACCCA
rnacentral:lncRNA from 1 species